CUCAGGGAGGUAGUGACAAGAAAUAACAACACUGGAAAUUUUAUUUCUAGUGAUUGGAAUGAUGGGAAUUUAAACCCCUUUCAGAGUAACAACUGGAGGGCAAGUCUGGUGCCAGCAGCCGCGGUAAUUCCAGCUCCAAUAGCGUAUAUUAAAGUUGUUGCAGUUAAAAAGCUCGUAGUUGGAUGUCUGCUGGAAGCAAUCAGUCCGCCCUAUUUGUAGGGUGUGCACUUGAUGAAUUCUGGCAUCUAUGUCCUAAUGUGAUAGAUACGGCGGUGUAUAUGGGUUAAUCCUAUAUACCCGUUUGUAUAUUAUAUUGGGAUAAUACCGUUACUUUGAGAAAAUUAGAGUGUUUGAAGCAGGCUAAUUGCCUUGAAUACUGCAGCAUGGAAUAACAAUAUAGGAUUUCGGUUCUAUUUUGUUGGUUUCUAGGAUUGAAAUAAUGAUUAAUAGGGACAGUUGGGGGCAUUCGUAUUUAACUGUCAGAGGUGAAAUUCUUAGAUUUGUUAAAGACGAACUACUGCGAAAGCAUUUGCCAAAGAUGUUUUCAUUAAUCAAGAACGAAAGUUAGGGGCUCGAAGACGAUCAGAUACCGUCGUAGUCUUAACCAUAAACUAUGCCGACUAGAGAUAGGAAAAUGUCAUUUUUCUGACUU
rnacentral:rRNA from 1 species